GAUGAACGCUAGCUACAGGCUUAACACAUGCAAGUCGAGGGGCAGCACGGGAAUAGCUUGCUAUUCUAGGUGGCGACCGGCGCACGGGUGAGUAACGCGUAUCCAACCUGCCCAUUACUCAGGGAUAGCCUUGCGAAAGUAAGAUUAAUACCUGAUAUGUCAUUAGAGUAGAUUUAAUGAUGAAAGAUUUAUCGGUUAUGGAUGGGGAUGCGUAAGAUUAGGUAGUAGGCGGGGUAACGGCCCACCUAGCCGACGAUCUUUAGGGGUUCUGAGAGGAAGGUCCCCCACACUGGUACUGAGACACGGACCAGACUCCUACGGGAGGCAGCAGUGAGGAAUAUUGGUCAAUGGGCGGAAGCCUGAACCAGCCAAGUAGCGUGAAGGAUUACAGCCCUACGGGUUUUAAACUUCUUUUAUAUAAGAGUAAUGUGCACUACGUGUAGUGUAUUGCAAGUAUUAUAUGAAUAAGCAUCGGCUAACUCCGUGCCAGCAGCCGCAGUAAAAC
rnacentral:rRNA from 1 species